rnacentral:rRNA from 1 species
AGACAAACUCCGAAUGCCAAUUAAUUUAACUUGGGAGUCAGAACAUGGGUGAUAAGGUCCGUGUUCGAAAGGGAAACAGCCCAGACCACCAGCUAAGGUCCCAAAAUAUAUGUUAAGUGGAAAAGGAUGUGGCGUUGCCCAGACAACUAGGAUGUUGGCUUAGAAGCAGCCAUCAUUUAAAGAGUGCGUAAUAGCUCACUAGUCGAGUGACACUGCGCCGAAAAUGUACCGGGGCUAAACAUAUUACCGAAGCUGUGGAUUGUCCUUUGGACAAUGGUAGGAGAGCGUUCUAAGGGCGUUGAAGCAUGAUCGUAAGGACAUGUGGAGCGCUUAGAAGUGAGAAUGCCGGUGUGAGUAGCGAAAGACGGGUGAGAAUCCCGUCCACCGAUUGACUAAGGUUUCCAGAGGAAGGCUCGUCCGCUCUGGGUUAGUCGGGUCCUAAGCUGA